GAGGAAGAGUCGUUCAGAGUGAAAGAGGAAGAGGAAACCGAGGAGACGGGAGGAGAGAGACGUGACUAUUGUGGAUCCUCUGGGGAGCCUCAACAACAUCAUGAUGCUGAAGAGGCAGAGAAGAGUCUCUCCACAUCAGAACUCUUCAAGAAACACCAGCAGAGACCCACAGGGAAGAAUCCUCACUGCUGCUCUCACUGUGGGAAGCGUUGCAAAUCUUUAUCAGAACUUAAAAUACACCAGAGAACACACACAGGAGAGAAACCUUAUAGCUGUGAUCAAUGUGGGAGGAGUUUCACUAUAUCAAGCCAUCUGACUUCACACCAGAGAACACACACAGGAGAGAAACCUUAUAGCUGUGAUCAAUGUGGGAAGUGUUUUACUAUAUCAAGCCAUCUGACUUCACACCAGAGAACACACACAGGAGAGAAACCUUAUAGCUGUGAUCAAUGUGGGAUGAGUUUUGCUGCAUCAAGCAAUCUGACUUCACACCAGAGAACACACACAGGAAAGAAACCUUAUAGCUGUGAUCAAUGUGGGAUGAGUUUUGCUGCAUCAAGCAAUCUGACAAGACACCAGAGAAUACACACAGGAGAGAAACCUUAUAGCUGUGAUCAAUGUGGGAAGUGUUUUACUAUAUUGAGCUCUCUGACUUCACACCAGAGAACACACACAGGAGAGAAACCUUAUAGCUGUGAUCAAUGUGGGAAGUGUUUUACUAUAUUGAGCUCUCUGACUUCACACCAGAGAAUACACACAGGAGAGAAACCUUAUAGCUGUGAUCAAUGUGGGAAGUGUUUUACUAUAUCAAGCUCUCUGACUUCACACCAGAGAACACACACAGGAGAGAAACCUUAUAGCUGUGAUCAAUGUGGGAAGUGUUUUACUAUAUCAAGCCAUCUGACUGCACACCAGAGAACACACACAGGAGAGAAACCUUAUAUCUGUGAUCAAUGUGACAAGAGAUACUCUGAUAAAAGAUCUCUGAUUAAACAUCAGAAAAUACAUGAAGGAGGUGUUUCAUGAUAUCAAUUGUAGUAGGAGUGUUUUAAUGAUGUCACAAUGUAGAAUGUUUUAACAUUGUAGUAGGAGUAUUUGAAUGAUGUUACAAUGUAGAAUGUCUUAACAUUGUAGCAGCACUUCAAGAUUCAAAAUGUAGCUAGCGGUUUUCUACAAGUUGAAAAAGCUGCUUGUUUAAAAAAAUACAUGUAAUUGAUCAUUGUUGCAGAUGUUUGUGUAUAAACACACAAGAAAGCAGUACAAUAAAUUGGUCUAUAAUCAAUUUUUA